AUACCAUGAUGUGGACACUUCCAUACAACUCCUUGAAAGGUUUCCAUGCCUCAUAUAAGGAUUCAUCAUCGUGUUGUUGCAACGUAGUAAUUUCAUUCCUAAGCUU
rfam:Gossypium raimondii Chr10_contig_595, whole genome shotgun sequence.